CUUUGGUCUCCAUCUUCAUCUGGACGCUCACCCUCUGGACUCAAGGUUCCAGUGGUCAGGUGACUGUGACUCAGCCUCCUGUCAUUUCUUCACUUCCAAAAGAAACAGUUCAAAUCACCUGUAAAACCAGCCCUGCAGUUUACCGCUGGAGUGAUGGGAAUGAGGGACUGGCCUGGUAUCAGCAGAAACCUGGAGAAGGUCCUAAACUGCUGAUUUACUCAAUUGAUGACAGAGCCUCAGGAAUUCCAGCUCGUUUCAGUGGCAGUGGAUCUGGAUCUGACUUCACUCUGACCAUCAGUAAUGUCCAGACUGAAGAUGCAGGAGAUUAUUACUGUCAGAGUGAACAUGAGAUCAGUGGUAGCACUGUGUUCCCACAGUGUUUAGUAGGUGUACAAAAACCCCCCUCAGUCCAGCUGCACAGAGACUUCACUCUCACACUCAUCAGUUUUUAGUAGGAGAUCAUAUUCAGAGUGCAGAACUUCCCCAGAGUCUAACUGGACCUGAUGGACACAGUGGUCAGUAGCAAAUGGUGUGCUGUUAGACAGAGUGACCCACCAUGGAGUCUGACAGGCAGACUGACCAGCAGGGGGAGCCACAGCCCACCUCAGCCCCUCCCAGCAGCCUCCUGGAGCUCCACCCUCCCACACUGAUCAAUUAAAUCCACAGCCUCAGUUCUAAGAAUUCUUCUGAUUAGUGCAGCAUAGCAUUACUAAAAUAUGUCUUUAUGUGGACUGAUGUGAUUUUCUCCAUCCAUUUUUUGAAGUCCUACCAAAUAUUUCUGCUAAUAUUUCUUGAACUUGGUGUUGACUGUUUUUUUUUCAAGAUUUUUUGGAUUUUGUUCUCAUAGAUUAUAUUCAAGGAUUCACCAACAGUGCUGGUCAGUUCCAGUCUUGGAGACUGAACGCUCGACAUAUUACUGUAUUUUUACUCUAACACACCUGACUCAACUGAUACAGAGCUUAAUGAUCCCCUGAUGGGUUGAAAAAGGUCUGAAACAGUAAUGACCUGAACUGAAGGUCUAGCUCUAAAAGUCCCAGUUCAGGACUGAGUUCUAUAGAGAAACUCAGAGUUCUGAUAUAUUUUGGAUCUGAUCUUUUUAUUUACUCCUAUUUAAUUUAUAGUUUUACUGCUACUUCAGUCAUGAUUUCACUGAAGGAUCAACACUUUCACUGGAGUCUGAUUUGAAGCUGCUCUUUCUCUCUCAACACCUUUCACACUACACGACUUACACUGUUGUUCUGUGUUCCUACAGUGCAGAACUUCUCCAGAGUCUAACUGGACCUGAUGGACACAGUGGUCAGCAGCAGCUGGUGUGCUGUUGAAGUGAUCCACUAUGUAGUCUGACUCCGAAGUCAAAGAUGUUCCCAAUCUAAAAACAGCAUAAAUGUUGUGACUGGCAGCGCUGUUACUGACCAGCCUGACCACCCAGCCCUCUACACACUGAGCUCCACCAGCUCAGAGGACUGUAUGCUGUGGACUUCAUCUCUGGCUAAGCCUUAUUUCUAGUAUAUGUAAAUAUUUAUACUGUAACUGUUUAUUUAAGAUGUUACCUGAACGUUAUGCUGCUCCUCUGUACCUGCACUGUAGACUUUAUAUACUGACCACUGUUUACACCACUAGUACUUCUGCAUUUACUGGACUGCAGUUCACCAGCACAUUUCUGUCUCUAUACCUGAUACACUUGAAUAUCUGACUAUGCACUAACUGUCUAUACGUCCAGGACACCUAUAACACUCGCCUACGCACAUCUCGUCUACGUUGGACACCUGAACCUACUGACCGCACAUUCUGUCUGUCUUUUACUGUCUUUAGUCUCUGCCCUGUUUACUAUGCAUCUCUUAUUACUGCACUGGAAAAGUCGCCCCAUAGUGUUUCAUUAUACUGU